AAACGCCAAACAAGCAUGCCCGAUUUGAAAAUUAAUUAAUAAAAACAUUAAUUUUCAGCCAUCAUACAAGCACCAUUGCACCUAGAUAUUAAUUUAAGACAAAAAAGAAAAGAAAAGAAAAACACCAUUAAUUAUACUACUAUAUACUAAAUGAAGUUCUCCUUAAGCGUGAUGCUGGAAAAUGAAGGCUUUUACGUGAGCUUCUUGAUCAACAGUACGUAGUAGUAGUAGUAGUAGUAGUAUCUUCUUCGAAUAUGGUUUCGAGGAUUUUGGGUGUUUGGUUUCUGGAAAAUAUGGGGAGCUGAUCAUGGCGGUGCCGAGGCGGUGCAACGGCUGAGAAAGGAGUCCGAGGUGAGGUCUCGGAGAGUUCUAUCAGAAUACUAUUAGUGCUAGGGCCAUGGAGGAAGACUUUGUUUGUACUUGACAACUUCAUUAGUACAGGAGCCAACCGAGCUGCCAUAUUUUUUUUCUUUUUGAUGAAUAAAUAUGUAGGUAGCUAGGUUAAUUUGCUUUGGUAAUGGGGGAAGGAGAGAUUU
rnacentral:lncRNA from 1 species